rnacentral:lncRNA from 1 species
CUGAGAUUAACAACGUUAAUUUUUUUUGCUGACGUGGCAGUGUUGGCAAAUUGCAUGCCGCCACGUGGCAUCCUUCUUAUAUCUUUUUUUCUUAUUCUUUUUAUUUCCCCUCCUCUUCUUUUUCUAUUUUUUAAUUCUCUUUUUUGGGUUCUACUGCAUCUUUCUUUUUUAUUUUUUCUUCCAAAAAGCACCCAAAAUUUCCCCUCACUUUCUCACCCUCCAAUCACCACCAAAAUCUUCUUUUUACUAUUGUAUGAAAAUCAAUCUCAGAUGAUAAGCUUAUGAUACGAGUCAUCCUCUAAGUAGUAAAUAAAAU